GAAAAAGUGUGGGAUUUCAAGGGAUUAAGCUAAUAAAGGCUCGAGGUAGCUUGUGGAUAGCAGAUAUUGUCAAGAAUUAUAGUCGGCUUUACUACUCCAAAAACUGAAUAAAAGAAUUGGGCUUAAUUUUGAAAAGUGAGAUGUUGAAAGACCCGAAAGUCUGCUUGCAUAUGCUUCCAUUUUUUGAGCAUAACUCUAGCUACAAAACUCCAAAUGAUGCGAUUCUUAGAUCAUUGGAAAGAUAAGAGACAGAGCUAUAACUUUCAUGCAGAUCACUUUACCCUGUUGUCAAACCCUGCUUUGUAAAAUAAUUAUAAUGUCAUUCACAUGCUCGAUAGAAUGUUUGUAUAUUUAGGAAG